GGCAAUAGGCACUAAGUAAUGGGACGAUAACUGCAAAAGUUUAAAAUCGUAAAUAACAGGUUCAAUGAGUCGAAUAAGCAAUUUUUGUACAUACUGAAGUGCAAGUCAUUGAAGAGGUGGAAAUCGAAAUUCAACCCGAAAAAUUGUUUCCAAAAGAGUUUUGUUGGUAACUCACUUCGCAAUAACUUCAUCCCCCAAGCCACGUUUGAUGCAAUUUGACAACGCAAAGCAUUUCGGCUUUCGAGAUACGUUUUUCCAAAUUCUGUGACUCUGUACUGUACAAAACGCGGCUGAA